rnacentral:rRNA from 1 species
GACGAACGCUGGCGGCGUGCUUAACACAUGCAAGUCGAACGGAAAGGCCCUGCUUUUGUGGGGUGCUCGAGUGGCGAACGGGUGAGUAACACGUGAGUAACCUGCCCUUGACUUUGGGAUAACUUCAGGAAACUGGGGCUAAUACCGGAGAGGAGCUCCUGCUGCAUGGUGGGGGUUGGAAAGUUUCGGCGGUUGGGGAUGGACUCGCGGCUUAUCAGCUUGUUGGUGGGGUAGUGGCGUACCAAGGGUUUGACGGGUAGCCGGCCUGGGAGGGUGAACGGCCACCUUGCGACUGAGAUACGGCGCAGACUCCUACCGGAGGCAGCAGGGGGGAAUCUUACACAACGACCGGGAGCGUGAGACAGCGACGCUGCGUGCGGAAUACCGUCCUUCGGGUUAUGAACAGCUGUCUCCUUAGACGAAGACUUCUUGACGGUACCGAAUCAAGAAGCACCGGCUAACUACGUG